GAUGAAGAACGUAGCGAAAUGCGAUAAGUAAUGUGAAUUGCAGAAUUCAGUGAAUCAUCGAAUCUUUGAACGCACCUUGCGCUCCUUGGUAUUCCGAGGAGCAUGCCUGUUUGAGUGUCAUUAAUAUAUCAACCUCUUCAGCUUAUGCUUGUUGAGUGUUGGAUGGUGGGGGUUUGCUGGUGUCUUAUGAAGUCAGCUCCUCUGAAAUGCAUUAGCGGAACAAUUUGUUGACCGUUCAUUGGUGUGAUAAAAAUAUCUACGCUAUUGACGUCAGUCAGUUCAGCUUCUAACAGUCCAUUGACUUGGACAAAUUUUUCAUUAAUGUGACCUCAAAUCAGGUAGGACUACCCGCUGAACUUAAGCAUAUCAAUAAGCGGAUGA
rnacentral:misc_RNA from 1 species